GACGAACGCUGGCGGCGUGCCUAAUACAUGCAAGUAGAACGCUGAAGGAGGAGCUUGCUUCUCUGGAUGAGUUGCGAACGGGUGAGUAACGCGUAGGUAACCUGCCUGGUAGCGGGGGAUAACUAUUGGAAACGAUAGCUAAUACCGCAUAAUAGUAGAUGUUGCAUGACAUUUGCUUAAAAGGUGCAAUUGCAUCACUACCAGAUGGUCCUGCGUUGUAUUAGCUAGUUGGUGGGGUAACGGCUCACCAAGGCGACGAUACAUAGCCGACCUGAGAGGGUGAUCGGCCACACUGGGACUGAGACACGGCCCAGACUCCUACGGGAGGCAGCAGUAGGGAAUCUUCGGCAAUGGACGGAAGGCUGAACGAGCAACGCCGCGGGAGUGAAGAAGGGUUUCGGAUCGUAAAGAUCUGUUGUAAGAGAAGAACGAGUGUGAGAGUGGAAAGUUCACACUGUGACGGUAUCUUACCAGAAAGGGACGGCUAACUACGUG
rnacentral:rRNA from 1 species